rnacentral:rRNA from 1 species
UCUGGCACCUUCGGUGUCCGAGUUGUAAUUUGAAGAAGGUAACUUUGGAGUUGGCUCUUGUCUAUGUUCCUUGGAACAGGACGUCACAGAGGGUGAGAAUCCCGUGCGAUGAGAUGUCCAACUCUAUGUAAAGUGCUUUCGAAGAGUCGAGUUGUUUGGGAAUGCAGCUCUAAGUGGGUGGUAAAUUCCAUCUAAAGCUAAAUAUUGGCGAGAGACCGAUAGCGAACAAGUACAGUGAUGGAAAGAUGAAAAGAACUUUGAAAAGAGAGUGAAAAAGUACGUGAAAUUGUUGAAAGGGAAGGGUUUGAGAUCAGACUUGGUAUUUUGUAUGUCUUGCUUUCGGGUGGGGCCUCUGCAGUUUACUGGGCCAGCAUCGGUUUGGACGGUAGGAUAAUGACAUUGGAAUGUGGCACUACUUCGGUGGUGUGUUAUAGACUUUGUUGAUACUGCCUGUCUAGACCGAGGACUGCGUCUUUGACUAGGAUGCUGGCAUAAUGAUCCUAA